rnacentral:rRNA from 1 species
AUACGUAGGGGGCGAGCGUUGUCCGGAAUGAUUGGGCGUAAAGGGCGCGUAGGCGGCGCGGUAAGUCUGGAGUGAGAGUCCUGCUUUCAAGGUGGGAAUUGCUUUGGAUACUGCCGCGCUUGAGUGCAGGAGAGGUUAUCGGAAUUCCCGGUGUAGCGGUGAAAUGCGUAGAGAUCGGGAGGAACACCAGUGGCGAAGGCGGGUAACUGGACUGCAACUGACGCUGAGGCGCGAAAGUGUGGGGAGCAAACAGGAUUAGAUACCCUGGUAGUCCACACUGUAAACGAUGAAUGCUAGGUGUAGGGGGUAUCGACCCCUUCUGUGCCGCAGUCAACACAAUAAGCAUUCCGCCUGGGGAGUACGGCCGCAAGGUUGAAACUUAAAGGAAUUGACGGGG